rnacentral:misc_RNA from 1 species
GAAAUGCGAUAAUUAAUGUGAAUUGCAGAAUUCAGUGAAUCAUCGAGUCUUUGAACGCACAUUGCGCCCCCUGGUAUUCCGGGGGGCAUGCCUGUCCGAGCGUCAUUGCUGCCCUCAAGCACGGCUUGUGUGUUGGGCUUCCGUCCCUGGCAACGGGGACGGGCCCAAAAGGCAGUGGCGGCCCCAUGUCUGGUCCUCGAGCGUAUGGGGCUUUGUCACCCGCUCCCGUAGGUCCAGCUGGCAGCUAGCCUCGCAACCAAUCUUUUUAACCAGGUUGACCUCGGAUCAGGUAGGGAUACCCGCUGAACUUAAGC